AAAGUAUCAAGGAGCGCAAAG
rnacentral:miRNA from 1 species